AGUGAACGCUGGCGGCAGGCCUAACACAUGCAAGUCGAGCGGCAGCGCGUCCGACCACCCUCGGGUGGUCGGAUGGCGGCGAGCGGCGGACGGGUGAGGAAUGCAUCGGAAUCUGCCUCGUUGUGGGGGAUAACGUAGGGAAACUUACGCUAAAUACCGCAUACGACCUACGGGUGAAAGUGGGGGACCUUCGGGCCUCACGCGAUGAGAUGAGCCGAUGCCGGAUUAGCUAGUUGGCGGGGUAAAGGCCCACCAAGGCGACGAUCCGUAGCUGGUCUGAGAGGAUGAUCAGCCACACUGGAACUGAGACACGGUCCAGACUCCUACGGGAGGCAGCAGUGGGGAAUAUUGGACAAUGGGGGGCAACCCUGAUCCAGCCAUGCCGCGUGUGUGAAGAAGGCCUCGGUUG
rnacentral:rRNA from 1 species